rnacentral:rRNA from 1 species
AUACGUAGGGUGCAAGCGUUAAUCGGAAUUACUGGGCGUAAAGCGCGCGCAGGCGGUUUUGUAAGACAGUGGUGAAAUCCCCGGGCUCAACCUGGGGACUGCCAUUGUGACUGCAAGGCUGGAGUGCGGCAGAGGGGGAUGGAAUUCCGCGUGUAGCGGGGUACUGCGUAGAUAUGCGGAGGAACACCGAUGGCGAAGGCAAUCCCCUGGGCCUGCACUGACGCUCAUGCACGAAAGCGUGGGGAGCAAACAGGAUUAGAUACCCUGGUAGUCCACGCCCUAAACGAUGUCAACUGGUUGUUGGGGAUUUAUUUUCUCAGUAACGAAGCUAACGCGUGAAGUUGACCGCCUGGGGAGUACGGCCGCAAGGUUAAAACUCAAAUGAAUCGACGGGG